rnacentral:rRNA from 1 species
CCUACGGGUGGCUGCAGUGGGGAAUAUUGGACAAUUGGCGAAAGCCUGAUCCAGCCAUGCCGCGUGUGUGAAGAAGGCCUUCGGGUUGUAAAGCACUUUCAGUGGGGAAGAAAGCCUUGGGGCUAAUACCCUCGAGGAAGGACAUCACCCACAGAAGAAGCACCGGCUAACUCCGUGCCAGCAGCCGCGGUAAUACGGAGGGUGCGAGCGUUAAUCGGAAUUACUGGGCGUAAAGCGCGCGUAGGCGGUCUGAUAAGCCGGUUGUGAAAGCCCCGGGCUCAACCUGGGAACGGCAUCCGGAACUGUCAGGCUAGAGUGCAGGAGAGGAAGGUAGAAUUCCCGGUGUAGCGGUGAAAUGCGUAGAGAUCGGGAGGAAUACCAGUGGCGAAGGCGGCCUUCUGGACUGACACUGACGCUGAGGUGCGAAAGCGUGGGUAGCAAACAGGAUUAGAGACCCGAGUAGUC